GCCUGGGUGGCUCAGUUGGUUAAGCGUCUGACUUUGGCUCAGGUCAUGAUCUCAUGGUCCGUGGGUUCGAGCCCCGCGUCGGGCU
rnacentral:tRNA from 1 species